CCCACCAUGUUUUCCGGCGGCCAAGCUCGCGGCGCCACACCAUCUACCCUUGUCAUGCCGCUGCCCAUGGCAAUGCUCCUCGGCCACAUUCGCAGCGCUGCCGGCUUAUUGUACAGGCUUCAUACGCCCCUUGGCUCCGGCCAACCGUUUCGACGCUGCUGUGUCACCCUGGUCGCUUCUCGGCAAACAACAUCAACUAACAAGUUCCUGUAGAUUUUUGUGUGUGAUUUGAGCUGUAAAAGCCUGAACAAAGGCAACUAUUCUGUAUUUUCCUUUCUGAAUUUUAUUCUCUUACAAGACUGGCCUAUGUUGUAAACGAAUUUCUGUGUGAAUGAAAGCUUGUGGAAUUUGCAAUGUAUAGUUGUUCUUGUCCACUUUUCAUAUAAUGUGUUGCGACAUUUUC
rnacentral:lncRNA from 1 species